UAGGGAAUCUUCCGCAAUGGACGAAAGUCUGACGGAGCAACGCCGCGUGAGUGAAGAAGGUCUUCGGAUCGUAAAGCUCUGUUGUUAGGGAAGAACAAGUAUCGGAGGAAAUGCCGGUACCUUGACGGUACCUGACGAGAAAGCCACGGCUAACUACGUGCCAGCAGCCGCGGUAAUACGUAGGUGGCAAGCGUUGUCCGGAUUUAUUGGGCGUAAAGCGCGCGCAGGCGGUCCUUUAAGUCUGAUGUGAAAUCUUGCGGCUCAACCGCAAGCGGUCAUUGGAAACUGGGGGACUUGAGUGCAGAAGAGGAAAGCGGAAUUCCACGUGUAGCGGUGAAAUGCGUAGAGAUGUGGAGGAACACCAGUGGCGAAGGCGGCUUUCUGGUCUGUAACUGACGCUGAGGCGCGAAAGCGUGGGGAGCAAACAGG
rnacentral:rRNA from 2 species